AGACCCGAAACCCGGUGAUCUAGCCAUGGGCAGGUUGAAGGUUGGGUAACACUAACUGGAGGACCGAACCGACUAAUGUUGAAAAAUUAGCGGAUGACCUGUGGCUGGGGGUGAAAGGCCAAUCAAACCGGGAGAUAGCUGGUUCUCCCCGAAAGCUAUUUAGGUAGCGCCUCGUGAAUUCAUCUCCGGGGGUAGAGCACUGUUUCGGCUAGGGGGCCAUCCCGGCUUACCAACCCGAUGCAAACUGCGAAUACCGGAGAAUGUUAUCACGGGAGACACACGGCGGGUGCUAACGUCCGUCGUGAAGAGGGAAACAACCCAGACCGCCAGCUAAGGUCCCAAAGUCAUGGUUAAGUGGGAAACGAUGUGGGAAGGCCCAGACAGCCAGGAUGUUGGCUUAGAAGCAGCCAUCAUUUAAAGAAAGCGUAAUAGCUCACUGGUCGAGUCGGCCUGCGCGGAAGAUGUAACGGGGCUAAACCAUGCACCGAAGCUGCGGCAGCGACGUUUAUGCGUUGUUGGGUAGGGGAGCGUUCUGUAAGCCUGCGAAGGUGGCCUGUGAGGGUUGCUGGAGGUAUCAGAAGUGCGAAUGCUGACAUAAGUAACGAUAAAGCGGGUGAAAAGCCCGCUCGCCGGAAGACCAAGGGUUCCUGUCCAACGUUAAUCGGGGCAGGGUGAGUCGACCCCUAAGGCGAGGCCGAAAGGCGUAGUCGAUGGGAAACGGGUUAAUAUUCCCGUACUUGGUGUUACUGCGAAGGGGGGACGGAGAAGGCUAUGUUGGCCGGGCGACGGUUGUCCCGGUUUAAGCGUGUAGGUGUGUGUUCCAGGUAAAUCCGGUUCACUUUAACACUGAGGCGUGAUGACGAGGCACUACGGUGCUGAAGCAACAAAUGCCCUGCUUCCAGGAAAAGCCUCUAAGCAUCAGGUAACAC
rnacentral:rRNA from 1 species